rnacentral:rRNA from 1 species
AUUGAACGCUGGCGGCAGGCCUAACACAUGCAAGUCGAACGAGUGGCGGACGGGUGAGUAAUGUCGGGGAAACUGCCUGAUGGAGGGGGAUAACUACUGGAAACGGUAGCUAAUACCGCAUACCAUCGGAUGUGCCCAGAUGGGAUUAGCUAGUAGGUGGGGUAACGGCUCACCUAGGCGACGAUCCCUAGCUGGUCUGAGAGGAUGACCCGCACCUCUGGAACUGAGACACGGCCCCGGAUCCGAAGGGAGGCAGCAGUGGGAGAUAUCGCACAAUGGGGUCAAGCUCGAUGCAGGCAUGCCGCGUGUAUUCAGAAGGCCUUCGGGCUGUAAAGUCCUUUCGGCGGUGAGUGGUUACCCGCAGAAGAAGCACCGGGUAACUCCGUGCAAGCAGGCGGGGCAAUUC